CAGUUUUCGCUAAGUCACCAAUUUCGGCACAACACCGGAACAAGAUGCGUUUUCUCUGAGAGUCUGACAGAAAUCGACGAGCGGUUUCUUCGCUCCAUUCGCCGAUGUUCGAGGCACUGGGAAGACUGUCCGUUAUUUUGUUAUUUUUGAAUCUCUCCAAAAGGCUAACGUUUCGCGCCGUUUCUUCCUGCUCUCUUCACUUCAGGCGCCCGCGCUGACAGGUUGCGUUUCCUCGCGUCUGACAGAAAUCGACGGAUCCUCUAUACCCAACCCCAACCAUCGUCCUAAAAGACUGUGAAGAUGGGAACCCUUUAACCAGUGGCUCAGUUACCAUUCAGAUGGAUGGAGAGGACAUGGUCAAAGAUGAUGGGGGCACUGAUAUUUCCCUCGCUCUCAGCCUCCUGUACUCACUCUACCAAAUAUACAAUGUUGCGUAUCCAAAAUAUUUGAGAAAGACCUUGAUGUUUUUGGAGGCUUUCAUUUUCCAAAAGACUAUACCUGUCCCUGUAUGUGUACAGAGGGUUUAUAUUUCCCUGUAGAUCCCUGUAGAUUCCCUGUAAUCAAAACACGGUGUCUCUCACACCGAGAGGCACGCACGCACACACACGCACUUCCCUGUAUGUAGAGAUAACUCAAACACACUUACACAGACACACAAACACAUUCACAGGUGUAAAGAUACGCAAAUCGCAGUUGAAUGAUUCACAGGCAUUUUCCAAAUGUAAGUGAUCAUCCCUGUCCCCUUGUAGUGGACACGCUUAUCAUUAUGCAGUCGUUUAGAAUGCACUUCCAAAAAGGGAGGAAUGUAAUUUCCUCAUCUUCAGCUGGGAUGUUCCUGUGACAAUGCAGCAUGGUCUCUGUCAGCAGAUGUCGCUGUUUUUUUUUUUUUUUUGUUAGCAUAACUGUUGUAAAUAAACAUUUUAUAUUUAAAAAUUUAAAUGUUUAAAUUUAAAUUAAAUACGAUUUGAAUGCACGACGCAGAGGCAAAGAAGGUGGUUGCCUCCGCGAAGUGCAUUCAAAUUGUUUAAUGCACAGCUAGCUGUUGAUUUAUCCCGUUUAUGCCAUGGUCAUUUGCCAGCAUUCACAUAUUAAAGAUGUUAAUAAUAUUUGCGCUGCAAUAUUUGACGAUAAAAAUGACGGUUAUUUUUUCAACUGUCACUGUAUAUUACCAUGUUUACCAAUAUUUAUAGGAAGCACAUUAAUAUGGAACGUGAUUAAACUGACCUGGAACUACCUGUGCAGUUAAAUGAAUUUAAUCAACACCUGCCAGCCAAUCAGAAUCGAGUAUUCAGACAGACCAUGGCAUAAGCUAAUAUAUAAAGACUAUGUAUGACUUUUAAAUAUCAAAUAGGCAAUUUUUUAUGCCUAUACAGAUCGUGCUGCGUUGUCACAGGAACAUCUCAGCUGAAGACGAGGAAAUUACAUCGCUCCCACUACAAGGGGACAGGGAUGAUCACUUCCAUUUGGAAAAUGCCCGCAAAUCGUUCAACCGCGAGUCGUGUAUCGUUACACCCCUACACACAACACAUACACUCACAUACGUACACACACAACACAUACACUCGCACGUUUAUAUUAAACUGUAGAUAAUUUUAAUUGUUUAUGAAAAUUCAUAGUCUUUCCAUCACUUUUGGAUGUUGAAACAGUAUUUGUUUGCAGAUGGUAUGCAAUUCAUCGUUACAAUUCUCGAGUCUAAGAUGUAUCAGUUUAAGGCUUUCUUUUUGAAAGAAAUGCGUUUCUCUGUGAAGGAAGUUUUUAAUUCCCUGUAGUUAAAAUUAAUUAAGCCAUCUUAAGUUGCAUAUUUAUUUGUUGUUGUUGCUGCUGUUUAUCUUACAAGUAUCUGUACUGUUUUAUAUUGUACUGUUUUUAUUGUAUUUUUUUCUGCUGUUUUCUGGUUUGUGUGUUUAUUUAAUGCUGUUUUCAGUUUGAUUUUGGGCAAUUUGUCUACUUUAUUAAUUUUGGUUGCCUAUUCAUAUGACUUUAUGUGGCACAAGGAAUAAUAAACAUGCAUUUAUUCCUAUUCCUGGAUUUCUUUGUAUGUUUGCUAACUAUAUUGGGGCCAUGAAGAACCUUUUCAUGAAUGGUUCCUAAUAAAGUGCCAUGAAGAACUGCAAGGGGUUCUUUUAAGAACCUUUGAAAAGGGUUCUUUGCAGUACCAAAAAAGGUUCUUCAUGGCACUAAGAAAAAAAAGGUUCUUCAAGGAACAAUUUAAUAAAAGGUUCUUCAGGGAACCAAAUAACUUUAUUGCACAUAUAAUUAGAAAGUUAUUGAACGCGGAAAUGUGUGAAUGUUGUGAAUGUGCCAAUAUAAAACCAACUUUACCCUGCUC